UACGUAGGCAGCAAGCGUUGUUCGGAGUUACUGGGCGUAAAGGGUGUGUAGGCGGUUCCCUAAGUUUGGUGUGAAAUCUCCCGGCUCAACUGGGGGGGGGCGCCGAAAACUGGGGAGCUAGAGUGCAGGAUGGGAGAGUGGAAUUCCUGGUGUAGCGGUGAAAUGCGUAGAUAUCAGGAGGAACACCUGAGGUGUAGACGGCUCUCUGGACCGCAACUGACGCUGAGACGCGAAAGCGUGGGUAGCAAACAGG
rnacentral:rRNA from 1 species